rnacentral:rRNA from 1 species
UCAGAGCCCGUUAAUGGGUGAUGGCGUGCCUUUUGUAGAAUGAACCGGCGAGUUACGAUUUGAUGCAAGGUUAAGCAGUAAAUGUGGAGCCGUAGCGAAAGCGAGUCUGAAUAGGGCGUUUAGUAUUUGGUCGUAGACCCGAAACCAGGUGAUCUACCCUUGGUCAGGUUGAAGUUCAGGUAACACUGAAUGGAGGACCGAACCGACUUACGUUGAAAAGUGAGCGGAUGAACUGAGGGUAGCGGAGAAAUUCCAAUCGAACCUGGAGAUAGCUGGUUCUCUCCGAAAUAGCUUUAGGGCUAGCCUCAAGUGAUGAUUAUUGGAGGUAGAGCACUGUUUGGACGAGGGGCCCCUCUCGGGUUACCGAAUUCAGACAAACUCCGAAUGCCAAUUAAUUUAACUUGGGAGUCAGAACAUGGGUGAUAAGGUCCGUGUUCGAAAGGGAAACAGCCCAGACCACCAGCUAAGGUCCCAAAAUAUAUGUUAAGUGGAAAAGGAUGUGGCGUUGCCCAGACAACUAGGAUGUUGGCUUAGAAGCAGCCAUCAUUUAAAGAGUGCGUAAUAGCUCACUAGUCGAGUGACACUGCGCCGAAAAUGUACCGGGGCUAAACAUAUUACCGAAGCUGUGGAUUGUCCUUUGGACAAUGGUAGGAGAGCGUUCUAAGGGCGUUGAAGCAUGAUCGUAAGGACAUGUGGAGCGCUUAGAAGUGAGAAUGCCGGUGUGAGUAGCGAAAGACGGGUGAGAAUCCCGUCCACCGAUUGACUAAGGUUUCCAGAGGAAGGCUCGUCCGCUCUGGGUUAGUCGGGUCCUAAGCUGAGG